GGAAGCGUGGCUGAGUGGUUUAAGGCACCAGUUUCGAAAACUGGCAUCCCGUCUAACGGGAUCGGAGGUUCAAAUCCUCCCGCUUCCG
rnacentral:tRNA from 2 species